UACGUAGGGGGCGAGCGUUGUCCGGAUUUAUUGGGCGUAAAGAGCUCGUAGGCGGCUCAGUAAGUCAGGUGUGAAAACUCCAGGCUCAACCUGGAGACGCCACUUGAUACUGCUGUGGCUAGAGUCCGGUGGGGGAGCAUGGAAUUCCUGGUGUAGCGGUGAAAUGCGCAGAUAUCAGGAGGAACACCAGUGGCGAAGGCGGUGCUCUGGGCCGGAACUGACGCUGAGGAGCGAAAGCGUGGGGAGCAAACAGG
rnacentral:rRNA from 1 species